rnacentral:tRNA from 1 species
GGAGGGGUGGCAGAGCGGCUGAUUGCGUCGGUCUCGAAAACCGAAAUACCUGUAAGGGUAUCGUGGGUUCAAAUCCCUCCCCCUCCG